GCUUGUCUCAAAGAUUAAGCCAUGCAUGUCUAAGUAUAAGCAAACUUGUACUGUGAAACUGCGAAUGGCUCAUUAUAUCAGUUAUAGUCUACUCGAUAGUACCUUACUACUUGGAUAACCGUAGUAAUUCUAGAGCUAAUACAUGCAUCAGACCCCGACUGUUUGGAAGGGGUGUAUUUAUUAGAUGGAAACCAAUGCGGGGUAACCCGGAUUCAGGUGAUUCAUAAUAACUUUCGGAUCGAUCGCAAGAUCGAUGCAUCAUUCAAGUUUCUGCCCUAUCAGCUUUGGAUGGUAGGGUAUUGGCCUACCAUGGCUUUAACGGGUAACGGAGAAUUAGGGUUCGAUUCCGGAGAGGGAGCCUGAGAAAUGGCUACCACAUCCAAGGAAGGCAGCAGG
rnacentral:rRNA from 1 species